GUAGGGAAUCUUCGGCAAUGGACGAAAGUCUGACCGAGCAACGCCGCGUGAGUGAAGAAGGUUUUCGGAUCGUAAAACUCUGUUGGUAGAGAAGAACGUUGGUGAGAGUGGAAAGCUCAUCAAGUGACGGUAACUACCCAGAAAGGGACGGCUAACUACGUGCCAGCAGCCGCGGUAAUACGUAGGUCCCGAGCGUUGUCCGGAUUUAUUGGGCGUAAAGCGAGCGCAGGUGGUUUCUUAAGUCUGAUGUAAAAGGCAGUGGCUCAACCAUUGUGUGCAUUGGAAACUGGGAGACUUGAGUGCAGGAGAGGAGAGUGGAAUUCCAUGUGUAGCGGUGAAAUGCGUAGAUAUAUGGAGGAACACCGGAGGCGAAAGCGGCUCUCUGGCCUGUAACUGACACUGAGGCUCGAAAGCGUGGGGAGCAAACAGGAUUAGAUACCCCAGUAGUCC
rnacentral:rRNA from 1 species